UGUCUGCCCUGGCACACAGGAACACAGGGGAGCUGGGUGAUGUCUGGAUUCAGCUGACUGACAAGGUGGAAGCAACCAGCCACAGUUUCUGCAGCACCCCAGGUCUGUGUGCCAGUGUAGCACCCUGCUAGCUCAGCCACCAGCCCUGCCUGGGCCCUUUCCAGGUACAGACAUGACGUGUGGCACCAGCUCCAAAACACACUGCACAUGACAGCCAGAGCACUGUGAGGCCACCGGGAAGCCUGGGUGGCUGAUGGGGCUGUUAGCACUCUUUCAGCCGUCUAAUGUACAAGUCCUUAUCAGAAAGCCCUGGCUUAAUCUCAGCUCAACUGGAAAAAUGCCGAUGACUGGAAAUGUCAUCAGCUGCCUGUGGGCCAGGCUGGCCCUGAGCUGAUAAGGAGCAACGCGGAAUAAAAAUGUCAGCACAAAACUGGAGAAACACGGAGCCUGGUUGCAUCUCUCCUCCAUCCCGCAGGAAGCCGGGCCCCUCUGCUGCCAGUCGUUCUCUAAAGCCUCAGCAAGAAAACCUGCUCUCUCUGAGGAAGGAGAAAAGUGGCUGAUCUCAGUGCAGCAGAGAAAAAGUGAAACUCCUGCCCCACUGACUCAAAGAGGGAAUUGAAGGAAGGGAAGAAGCAGUCCCCCAUGGUCUCCCCCAAACCACUGCCUUAUACCCAGGGUGCCUGCAGCCACCCAUCACUGUUGCAGCCAGCACACACCCCAUAAACAACAGUGUCAUGAUCCAGGUUUUGGCACAUGCUUCGAGAUGCCUGACCUGUCUAUCAGGGUGCUCUCUCCACUCUGCGUCUGAACGUGCUGCUGGGUGAGAGACGUGCAGAUGUCCCUGGUUAUGGAUGACGGGAGCUAGGGUGCAGCAAAGCAAAGUGACAAGGGAGUGCUGCUGGCUGGGGUCAGAGCUGCCCAUGGCAUGGGCACCCUGGCUGGGUCAGCCCUCACCCUGCAGAGCUGAGCAGUGUGCUGGGCCAGCUCAGACUCACUUGCAGGACAGAGUCAGUCUCUGAUCUACUGCCCUGUUGUCAAAUCAUUAGCUUUUCCGGUUUAAACGCUUGAUAAAAUGGCCCUAUUUUGAAGCCUGCCAGAUGAGCUGCUGCUCGCUGCCCAGGACUGACACUUCCAGCUGCUCUCUGGCAAGAUGCUUUCUCAAAUGAUUAGAAAAAUAAAAGUAAUCAAAGUUGUAA